rnacentral:rRNA from 1 species
CCUACGGGGGGCAGCAGUGAGGAAUAUUGGUCAAUGGCCGGAAGGCUGAACCAGCCAAGCCGCGUGAGGGAGGAAGGCGCAGAGCGUCGCAGACCUCUUUUGCCGGGGGACAAAAGGCCGGACGGGUCCGGUUCUGAGGGUACCCGGAGAAAAAGCAUCGGCUAACUCCGUGCCCGCAGCCGCGGUACUACGUAGGAUGCGAGCGUUAUCCGGAUUCAUUGGGUUUAAGGGGUGCGAAGGCGGGCCUUUAAGCCGGCGGUGAAAUCGCGGGGCUCACCCCCGUCGAGCCGUCGGAACUGGGGGCCUUGAGUGCGGCGGAGGCAUGCGGAAGGAGCGGUGUAGCGGUGAAAUGCAUAGAUAUCGCGCAGAACCACGAUUGCGAAGGCAGCGGGCCGUGCCGCCACUGACGCUGAGGCACGAAAGCGCGGGGAUCGAACAGGAUUAGAUACCCCAGUAGUC